rnacentral:rRNA from 1 species
UGGGGAAUAUUGCGCAAUGGGCGAAAGUCUGACGCAGCCACGCCGCGUGAGUGAAGACGGCCUUCGGGUUGUGAAGCAUCUGUCGCCCGGGACGAAAAUACUUACGGUUAACAGCCGUAGGGACUGACGGUACCGGGAGAGGAAGCACCGGCUAACUUCGUGCCAGCAGCCGCGGUAAUACGAAGGGUGCAAGCGUUGCUCGGAAUUAUUGGGCGUAAAGGGUAGGUAGGUGGUCUCAUUUGUCAGGGGUGAAAGCCUUGGGCUUAACCCAAGAAGUGCCCCUGAAACGGUGAGACUGGAGUCCUGGAGAGGGUCGUGGAAUUCCCGGUGUAGCGGUGAAAUGCGUAGAGAUCGGGAGGAACACCAGAGGCGAAGGCGGCGACCUGGACAGGUACUGACACUCAACUACGAAAAGCGUGGGAGCAAACA